GCCCAUGUGUGGGUCCGAAAGGGGAAGGCCAAAUAUAUAUCUAAGCCCAACCCUAUGCUUUUAUUUGUCUGGUGGGCCUGGACCAUUGUAAAGGGACUGGAAAGGUGUGUCACAUAAAUUGUCCACUUUGGAAAUUAUCAAUAUAUUCCAUGCACUUGGGGGGUGGGGGGAGUGGGCGUGAUGGACAAGGCAAAG